AAGAUUAAGCCAUGCAUGUCUAAGUAUAAGCAAUUAUACAGCGAAACUGCGAAUGGCUCAUUAUAUAAGUUAUCGUUUAUUUGAUAGUGCCUGUCCUACUUGGAUAACCGUGGUAAUUCUAGAGCUAAUACAUGCUAAAAACCCCAACUUCGGAAGGGGUGUAUUUAUUAGAUUAAAAGCCAAUGCCCUUCGGGGCUCAAUGGUGAUUCAUAAUAACUUCACGGAUCGCAC
rnacentral:rRNA from 1 species